rnacentral:rRNA from 1 species
GAUGAACGCUGACAGAAUGCUUAACACAUGCAAGUCGAUGGGGAAGUGGUGCUUGCACCAUGGCAACCAUGGCGGACGGGUGAGUAACGCGUAAGGGACUUACCUGCAGGACUGGGAUAACAGGGGGAAACUCCUGACAAGACCGGAUAAUGUCAUGGAGCUGCAUGGCUUUAUGAUGAAAGGAGACGCCUGCGGAGAGCCUUGCGUCCUAUUAGCUAGUUGGUGAGGUAAUGGCUCACCAAGGCGAAGAUAGGUAGCCGGCCUGAGAGGGUGGACGGCCAAAAGGGGACUGAGAUACGGCCCUUACUCCUACGGGAGGCAGCAGUGGGGAAUAUUGGACAAUGGGGGCAACACUGAUCCAGCAAUUCUGUGUGCACGAAGAAGGUUUUCGGAUUGUAAAGUGCUUUCAGCAGGGAAGAAGUAAGUGACGGUACCUGCAGAAGAAGCGACAGCUAAAUACGUG